GGGAAUAUAGCUCAGUUGGUAGAGCACUGCCUUUGCAAGGCAGGGGCCAAGGGUUCGAAUCCCUUUAUUUCCA
rnacentral:tRNA from 5 species